rnacentral:rRNA from 1 species
GACGAACGCUGGCGGCGUGCUUAACACAUGCAAGUCGAACGGAAAGGCCCUGCUUUUGUGGGGUGCUCGAGUGGCGAACGGGUGAGUAACACGUGAGUAACCUGCCCUUGACUUUGGGAUAACUUCAGGAAACUGGGGCUAAUACCGGAUAGGAGCUCCUGCUGCAUGGUGGGGGUUGGAAAGUUUCGGCGGUUGGGGAUGGACUCGCGGCUUAUCAGCUUGUUGGUGGGGGAGGGCUUACCAAGGCUUUGACGGGUAGCCGGCCUGAGAGGGUGACCGGCCACAUUGGGACUGAGAUACGGCCCAGACGCCUACGGGAGGCAGCAGUGGGGAAUAUUGCACAAUGGGCGGAAGCCUGAUGCAGCAACGCCGCGUGCGGGAUGACGGCCUUCGGGUUGUAAACCGCUUUCGCCUGUGACGAAGCGUGAGUGACGGUAAUGGGUAAAGAAGCACCGGCUAACUACGUG